AAUUAACAUAAUAAAAUUGAUAUGGCCAUCCAAUAAUGACAUAAGGAACAGGAGUGACAAAAAAGAGCGUGUUAACAGAAAAAGGGUAGAGAACAAUAUAGAGUUGAAAAUGGCUUCUCACCCUCCACUCCAACCCUAUUUUUCUCAUUUCCCUCUUCUCCUUAUCUUCAUCUUUCAUUUCUCUUUUCCUCAUCAAUCUCAAAGAUGAAACUACCACAUAUCAUGAAGAAGAAAAUGAAGAAGAAGAGAAGGCCAGAAUUUUAAGACACAUUUCUUCAACCAAAUAUGGUGCUAGGACAAAAAUGCCCUUGCUUAUUCUGAGGCGCAAUAUUUAGUCAGCAGUCAGCACCACUUCUAUCUCUUGAAUUACGGGGAACAAGGCAUAUAGGAUGGAGCCAGGCAUGAAGCAUUGGAAUCGAGUGUUGUAGUUAUUAUGGUGUAUGUAGAUAAUUACAGUAAUCAGUUUCAAGAAUGGUGUUUUUGAUGGCUAUAUAUAGAUAUUUAAUUAUUUA